ensembl:lncRNA
GAUGAAUGCCACCGUAGAGAAUCAAGUGCAAGUAGGGCUCAGCCAGGCUCGAGCGCCCAGGACUGUCACUGCCCGCCCCCGGGGAGGCCCCUUCCCCCACUCACCUCUGUACAAUUGCUUCCUCUGUUCCCCAGCCCCGCUUCCCUCAGGGUCCCAUGCAAACCAGACUCGUGAUAAAGGCCACCAUUGAUGGGCACUUCCUCUGCACCAGGCACUGCGCCGGGCCCUCCAGACCCAUUUUCUCAUCGAGUUCAUAGCACCACCCCCACAGACUUGGUAGGCGUAGUCCUGUCCCCAAAAUGAGGUUCACAGAGGUCAGAGGAAUGAUCUCAAGGUCAUGGCGGCAGAGCCGAGCUCAGUGAUGUCAAAGCCAGACACACCAUGAUUCUGCUGGUCUUUUCGUCAAGUUGCAAGAUGGCUGCUGCGGCUCCAGAUGUCACAUCUGCCCUCCAGGCUGAAAAAGGAGGGAAGAGCACAAAUCAGUGGCACUACUGGUGUUGAAUAGUUCUUUAUCAGUCAUUUAUUGUUGCUUAAAAUACUGUCGUAAAACUUAGUGGCUCAAAACAACAAUUAUUUAUUGGUUCAUGUUUCUUGGCAUCAGAGUUUGGGCAGGGGUCAGCUGGCAGUUCUUCCUCUGGUCUGAUGGGUUCACUCAGCGACAGCAGUUGGUGACUCAGUAGGUGCUAUAUUGUCCAAGAGAGCCUAAGUUGUGUAUCGCAUAUCUGGUAUUUGCUGCUGGCUUUUAAGAUGUGAUGACAGAAGCAGAGGUCAGAGUGAUGCCAUUGCUAGAAGGGGACCACUACCCAAGGAAUGUAGGUAGUAGCCUCUGCCAGCUGGAAAAGGCAAGAAGUGGACUCCUUCCCUGAAACUUCCAGAAAGAUCAAACUCUGCCAACACCUUGGUUUUACCCCAAUAAGACCAGUUUUGGACUUCAGACAUCAAGAACUAUAAGAGAAUAAAUGUGCUAUGUCACUUAUUACAGCAGCAAUAAGAAACUAUCUCCCUCCAUUGCUCUCUCAUUCUCUAAGGUAGAAGUUAGCCAACUAUGGCCUCAUUGCCUGAUUUUGUAAAUAACUUGUAUUGGAACAUACAUGUCCUUCCCUAUUAUCUAUGUCUGCUUUCAUGCUGCAGCAGCAC